UACAGCCCUGUCUGAAAUGGCAGAGAGUGGAAAUAAGGGAUGAGAAUAAUCAACCAUAACGUACCUGGUUCAUGGGAGAAAUGAUGGAGACAGAUUACAGCCACCUCUCGCCCAAGAUGGAAGAAGGGGAAAUGAGUUAGAGGAUGCUCUUGGACUCGUUAAAUCCACACGCCUGGGGGUGGCUGUCACCUCUGCACUCCAGCCAACCUCCUGAGCCCAGUGUCCCAGGUGGACAAAUUUUCACGAAGGCUUCAGACACACAACCUUGAGGACAGCAGGAACCACCAUCCACGUUUUCUUGUCAGAGAGUCGAGGGAUCCCCUCCAGCACCGCAGGCAGUCAGGAUGGCCCCCGCCUCGCUGCGUCUUGUGGGCCGCAGGCCUCCUCUGAAGGCCAAAGGAUGCGACUGGGGCUGUACAAGAAGACAAUGGGAGCAGCGCUAUAGCCCCAGAGAAGGAUGAACAAUUACAGAUGCCGGUAGAUCCACCUCCUGGAGAACCCACCUGAGAAAGGACCUGAGCCCAUGAGGCAUCCGUCCAGACAGGACUGUGAUCUGUCUUGUUGACUGUGGUGACCCCAGUCUUAACACAGUGCUGGGCCCACACUGAGUGUUAACAAACAGCAAAUGAAUGAAGAAUGAAUACAUCAGUCGGAGAGCGCUCCUCUCUUGGAAAUGGAACCACAACCAACCCUCAUCAUUGAGAGAAAUGUGGAAAGACCUGGUAUACUUGAAAUAAAUGUACCACAGCACAGGAGGAGCAGAGAGGCGAGCUCGGUGCCCCACAAGGACCCGAGAAGGACGAGCACCCCACGGCGGUCUCCCGGCGGGGCCGCAGGCUCCUCCUCCCUGUGAUCCCAGACCCUGGCCGGCUCAGCCCUAGGGAGGGAAGAGGCACGCCCCAUCCUACCUCUUGCUCAACUUUCCCUGAGUUGGCAAGGUCACCUACAGGGGUUCAGAGGCCAGAAACUACACUGGGAAUGAGGAUGUCCUCCUCCACUUCCAGUCCAAGUAGAGCAGCGGGUCUCAGCCUGGAGGCACAGGAGAAUCCCCCGGCGGAAGCACCCGGACUCAUCACGGACUCUGGUGAUGGGACCCAGAUGUGGGUUUGUUAUAAAACUUGGCAGGUGAUUCCAACCUGCAACCGGGGCCACCUCAGAAUUGGCGGGCCUUACGGGGAUAAUGGGAAUCACGUACUUUUCACCUGAGAAGAUUAGAUGCUCUUCACGUUUACCUUUUGUUACAUCACUCUGUGUUCAAUAUGGUUCGACUCAGGAAUGACUGGUGAUUUGCACAGAAAUAAACAAAUGCUAAACGUCUGAUGGAGAAGUGUUAAUCCUUUGGUCUUCUGGUAGGUCAUCUGUCAGGAGUCUAGAUAAUUCUGUUGGAGCCUGAAGAUAUGCCUACACCUGCCACUGUGCCCAAAGUGGAGGGUGAGCAGCUGGGGAGAAAGCUCAUUGCCCUCCUGAGUCCUAUGCAUCAUUUGAUCCCUCCAUCAGCUGCUCCACUUUGUAUGGUAGUGGGGGAGGACAGAAGCACCUGAGGCUUCUUUUGUUUUAGCACCAGUGGCCAUGUCUACUUCUUACCUGAAGCCUGCGUGCUUUAUUGUGAGCACCAGUGUAAAGGAAAAUCCACUGGCCACAUUCCCUCAGGGCCAGUCACCUGAGACUGCAGGAUGAAGCUGGAGAGUCCUCUGCCCUAGUGGAGGCUCCCAUCAACCUGGAAACCCAGCUCCCUGAAUGGCCAGCCUGAAAGCAGAGGUCAGAAUCUACCAGAUUCCAAGCUCUGCUAUCCUUCUGAGUAGUUCAUUUAAUGGGCCUUCUUUAAAUAAGCCCUCCUUCUAAAAUCAUCAUCAUUACUAUCUCACAGAACCCUACUCUAAGAGGUGAGGCUUCUCUGCGGACAAGGUGAAGAGGUCUGGCGGGGAGCGAAUGAGCGGCAGUGGCGACGCCUUUCUGUGGACACAGGGCCUGCAGCCCCCGGGCUGGUCAGAAAGGAAGGACUGAGCAGGCAAAGCUGCUCCCUUUACCGGGGUCUGUUUUUAAAGCUGAAGGGUGAUUGCAUUAAAAUACACACUCAAAUCAUCUGUGAGUACAGAAAACAUGGGUCCUAAAUGGCACCUCCUGAUCUCAGCUCAGUAAUUUUAUUUCCCUUAUCCUCUCUUUCCUCUAAUAAGGUUUUUGAAGAGUUCUGCUCUUGACCCCAAAGAGUCAGGGUCAUGCAGCCUUUGUUCGGGUUCCCAGUGGUUGAGGAAUACGUUCUUUGGCUACAUUGACAUACUUCGAUAAAUGACCCAAAGAGGAACAACACAAUAGUUUCGUCGUGCUAAGAAAAUGGCAGCUCUUUCCUGUUCUGGCUAACGUCACAGGCCCUGAGCCAAUGGGGGUGCCUGUUGCUUUUUAAGACAGUAUUUUAAAAGUCUGCGCUGUGGAGUCAAAUUGCCCUGGUUCCAGUCUCUGAUCGUCCUCCAUGAUCAAGGCCAACCAAUGCUCUCUAAGCCUUGGCUGUCUUACCAGUGAAACAAGGGUAGUUGUAGUACGCACCUCACAGAGUGUGCAUGAAGGCUGAGUGAGCUCAAUAACCAAGGCGCCGUGAGAGUGCCAGACACACAGUCGAUGUGAAGUAAAUGCAAAGUGAGUUAGAUGCUGUCGUUAUUACUGGUUAACCACAAAACUCUCCCCUGGAGACUCUCUGAAGGCCUGACUGGACUGAAUCUCCUGGAAUCACUCUGACGAGUCAGCUUUCUCCACAUCCAGAGUAUUACAGCUGGUGACCCCUGGAGAUGCCAAACACAGCCAACUGACACGACUGCCAGACCCUCAAGACCCUGGAGUCCAUCAAUACAUCAAUGUAUACAAUAUGCAGGAAUCUACCAGCAUCCCCUGAAACGAGCUGAGUAAAGCCUUUGAAUCAGGCCAGCCGGGCACAACUCAGUGAAAAGAACACUGCUUUGAAGUCAGAAGACAGGUUCCAGCACACUGUCCAUUGCUUAUUAGCUGUAUGACAUUGGGCAAACCACUUAACCUCUGUGGGCCUCAGUUUCCAUCACUGUUAAAUGUUAACUACUUUCCUUCUUAAAGUUCUUAUUAAACUACUUGAAGUUGCCUUGUAUGAAACAGAUACACUAUACAAAUAGACAGUGGGAUAUAUUAUUUUCCUUACCUGUAUUACUUGACAACAACUCCUUAAAAGAGUAAGAAAUUUUUGCUACAUUUUAGUGAAUGAAAUUGGUAUAAGAGGCCUUGGAUAAAGCUAAAAAUAGACUUACCAUAUGAUCCAGCAAUCCCACUCCUGGGCAUAUAUCCAGGGAGAACCUUAAUUCAAAAAGGUACAUGCACCCCAAUGUUCACAGA